rnacentral:miRNA from 1 species
UAUUGCACUUGUCCCGGCCUCU